rnacentral:ncRNA from 1 species
UAAGGGUUCGAGUCCCUUCAUCCUUAAUAAUUGUAUUAUUAUUAUACCUGUGGCUGGGUGGUUUAAAGCAGUGGGCUCCUGAGGCUGAAGUAGGUCUCAAGGGUUGGUCUGUUCGCCCAUUACAGCGGCACGUGAGCUGGCUUCAGAACGUCGUGAGACAGUUCCAUCCAUAUCCGGUGUAGACAUAAGAACAUUGAAAGGUUUUUCUUUUAGUACGAGAGGACCAAAGAAAUUAAGCCUAUAGUGUAUUAGGUAUUUUACUAAAGGUAGUCUCUGAGUAUUCAAGUUUAAUAAAUAUUAUCCAUAUAGUAUGUAUAUGAAUAUUACAAUAUUCAUAUGUGUAGGAAUUUUAGCAAGUCAAGUUAUAGGUGAACCAGGAACUCAAUUACCAU